GAGCUAUGAGGACGUGAGAGUGAUACCGUCGCCCCGUGACUGGAAGGAGAUGUAGGAUCGUCAGCCCUACCUUAGCUU
ncrna:unclassified sequences skipping-rope RNA